rnacentral:rRNA from 1 species
CCUACGGGUGGCAGCAGUGAGGAAUAUUGGUCAAUGGGCGUAAGCCUGAACCAGCCAAGUAGCGUGCAGGAUGACGGCCCUACGGGUUGUAAACUGCUUUUAUACGGGAAUAACGCGCCUUACGUGUAGGGCUUUGCAUGUACCGUAUGAAUAAGGACCGGCUAAUUCCGUGCCAGCAGCCGCGGUAAUACGGAAGGUCCGGGCGUUAUCCGGAUUUAUUGGGUUUAAAGGGAGCGUAGGCCGCAUUUUAAGCGUGCAGUGAAAUGUUGGGGCUCAACCAGGGCCUUGCAGCGCGAACUGGCGUGCGUGAGUCCGCGGAAGGCAGGCGGAAUUCGUGGUGUAGCGGUGAAAUGCUUAGAUAUGACGAAGAACCCCGAUUGCGAAGGCAGCUUGCUGCAGCGGAACUGACGCUGAUGCUCGAAAGCGCGGGUAUCGAACAGGAUUAGAUACCCGUGUAGUC